rnacentral:lncRNA from 1 species
UCAGCUAUGCUGGGACUGAGGCUCCUUCCUUCUCAAUAUCUGAAAUUCUGAAGGCAAUACUCUUGUCCUAAAGGAAAUGUGUAAUGUGAAGUUAACCUCAAUGUGAUGUGCCAAGGGCAUGUGAAAUCACAAGGAGAAAGUGCAGUAUUUACUGAGUGAGCAGCUAUUCCAGUCAAUGCCAUUCACAGCAUCCAAAGACAACAGAGUUGCUGGAUCACUGCCAGGCCCCAGGCAUUGAAGCCUUGCUUGCUGCAAUUCUCUUUGGCUAAGUUAGGCACAUACUAAAAUGGAUACAAGGAUCCCAUAGCAAUUGCCUUGUAAGACACUUAAAGGCAACUGAUCACAAGGUGGACAAGGGAAAGCUUUCAAGAACCCUGAAAUUGAAUUUGGAGUCACUAAUACAGCUAGGGAAUGAUAGCGUGGAAUGUCUCAAGGUCGCUUGCAACAGAGAAAGGGGGCCUUAUUUCAAAGAAAUUGCCCUGUCUGCCAGGAUAAAAAUGAGACACACACAGCAAAGAGAAAAGAGCAGCUGCUACAGAGCAUUACCAAGGGAGAGACUGCAAAACAAAUCAUCAGUGGGAAGGAGAAUGAGGAACACCACGAAUUUCUUCCAUCACUGGACAAGAAGCGCUCUCUCCUCUAAUUCAUAGGAUAAAAAGAAAGCUGGCUCCAAAUGGCCAUUUAAGCCCAGUAGGGCCCUUUGCAAGAAUGCGAAAGAGAGAAGAUAACAUGAUUUUCUCCACUGUGUCAAGAUGCAAUGGCUACAUAUACCUCCUGCAGCUGAAUUAUAAAGGCUGGAGCGUGCUUGCGACCAUUUGGACCACAUGGUUCCCGCUGUCAAAAGGUACCCCCCAGAGACAUCAUUUUCCACUGCCUAUGGAUCAGACGUCCAACAGAUUCCAGGAGGCACAAUGUUAAUAGACUGAAAUUGUCUUUGCUUCUGGAGGCAAAAGUGAAGAUAGGCAGGGCAAAGAUUUUCUCUUGUGCUUUCUUCUAGAACUUUUAUAGUUUCAGGUUUCACAUUGUGUAUGAUCCCCUUUGAGUUAAUUUUUUUAUGUGAUGCAAGAUAUGGAUCAAGAUUUGGAUUUGAAUAUGGAUAACCAAUUGUUCCAGCACCAUUUGCUGAAAAGACUAUCUUUUCUUCACUAAAUUGCUUUUUUAACUUUGAAAAGAAUCAAUUAACCCAUAUAUGUGUGUAUCUAUUUCUGGACUUUCUAUUCUGCUUCAUUGAUUUAUAUUGUCUAUUCUUUUGCCAUUACCACACGGGCUUGAUUACUGUAGCUUCAUAGGAACUCUUGAAAUUAGGUAGUGUGAUUCCUCCAACUUUGUUCUUUUUCAAAAUUAUGCUGGCUAUUACAGUUCCUUUGUCUUACCAUAUAUAUUUUAGAAUCAGCUUGCUGAUUUUUACACACACACACACACACACACACACACAAACCUGCUAGAUUUUUCACUAGAACUGUACUGAAUUCAUACAUCUAUAUUAUUUUUUUUUUAAGAUAAAUUGCUUCAUAAAUUUAUUCUGAUGCUUCUGGUUCAAACUCAGGGAUACAGAGGUUUCUACUUUAACCUCUUCUCUGUUAAACUUGUGUCUCUUUCCUUCCACACCAAAUAUCCUAGUUCUCUAGGACACUGAAAGUGAUAGAAUUGGAACAUUUCAUAAUUGUUCAUCUAGUUUAUCCCAUAUUACAAACAUAGUCUCUGAAUAAUACUCAUAUUAUAACAAUAUAAUUACUAAUAUUAAUUAAAAACUUUUUUGCAUAUGCCUUUUUUCUCCCAUUUUUAUAAUUGUACUAUAUCUACAUUUUCUGAACAUAUAGUCAUCCCAUUACUAUAAAAAAUCUGCCUUGAUAUUUUUUCUAAAAGACACACUCAUCUAUUUAUUUAACUGAGUUAUUCUCUGCCUCCUUCAAAAAUGAUUUUAAACUCCCUUAAAAAGAGGAAAAUACAGUUGGGUAAAAAGGAGGAAGCAAAUAUGUUAACCAUAAUUUAAAUAUGCGUUAUGAUUAAGUGCAAUAUUUGGCUCAAUGCAUCCUAACAGCCAAAUUAAAGGUAAAAAUGUGACAAGUUACAUAAAGUGGUAUUUUUCAAAUACAAUUGUUAUUUUUUUUAAGAUUAAAGGCAGACUUUUUUUUUACAUUACAUUACUAGGAGACAAAAAUUGAGAUGUGUAAUAACAUCCUCAAUUAGAGUUUCACAGAAAUGUAAAAAAAAAUUGACGUGAAAAAAGUUCAACAUAAUAUUAAAGUGCAAAUCAGUAAAACCGAGAGAUCUUUCAGAGAAAGACCUUUAUCUUAAACUGUUUUUUAAUACUUUUAAUGUACAUCAUGUAGCUGUUUGUCUCUUUUUAUUAUAGUAUAUAUUAUUACAGAAAUAUUUUAAAUAUUUAUAUUUAAAUAUAUUUAUACAUAUAUAUGGUACAUAUGUAUAUAUUUUUGCUUUUCUAAUUAGAAAGAAUUUCCCACUAUCAACAUUAUCACUAAGAACUUUAGCUGACUCUUUGAGUCAAGAAAACACUUUGAAAGUUCUACUCAGCCACAGCUUAGAAACUGCCCAACGUGCUUCACCACCAAGCUUAGGCUAUGUUAAAGCAAACGUGGCAUCAGCUUCAAGGGCAAGGCAGGGGAAGAAGACAUUAGUUGCAGAUAUAAUAAUAUGGGAAAAGGGGGUCAAAGAAUGGACAUUUGACUAAUGGGGUGAACAGCAGGAGAAGAGUGUUAGUGACUAUGAGACAGUGGAUGUGGAAGGAAAGAUCACAGUACCAUUGACUGUCCAUUGUAAAAGUCCAGCAAGACCUAAAGGAAAUGAGCAUGUCCUAGAGAAGUCUGAAUUUGUUAACAGGAGACUAGCUUAAUGGACAGUGAAUAAUAGUAUUACUGGAAAAGGUAAUCUGGAUAGGAAUAAGAUAUAGAUAAAUCAAAGAUUGAAGUUUCCUGAAUUCUCCCACACAGAGUUAUAUACAAAUUCUAACACCACAGUAUUUUCCACCUUGAAUCAUGCUUCAUGAGUUUGCUUUAUGAAAGAGCAUUUCAUUUACUUGAUGGUGACAGCUUGCCCAUUUUCAGGUGACUACAUCCUUAUCACCACUUGAGAGCCAGUGGGCUCCUCUCAGAAAAUCGGGCUUACACAGACAAGAUAGUCCACGGUUUUAUGCCAAAUUUCUCUAUCUAUCUCUUGCUACUCUCUGAGGGCAUUCUGACCUCUUAAUUCCUUGAGGGCCAUAAUUGACCAGAAACACUCUUGACUGCAUCAGGAAUUGAGUGGGAACUCUUGAUAGGUCUUUGGUCAAUCACUUAAGAAAAUCCAUUUCAUUUAAGUCAUUCCUGGAAAUUUUUUCUUUUACUUAAUUAUGUUGUGCACCCUUUUGCUUCCCUCUCAUGAUAUCAGGACACACAGGUUAAUGUGAAAGAAGCAUAUGCAGUUACUAAAGAAAUGAAGUUUUUCCACUGAUAGGUAUAUGGGUUAGAUUGAAUAUUAACACUGAUUCCUCGUGCUCUUUCCUUAUGACGCCUAAGUAAUAAGUUAUUUGCUUUCAUAAAUUUUUGAAAUUGUAUGUGAUUAGUAAUAAAAGGUCUGCAUCAGAAAAUAAUAUCCUUACCAACAGGAAACAGGGGUUUCAGUUGAAAAGCAUGAAACAUAUAUUUUCUUGAUAAAGCUGAUAUGGUUUGGCUGUCCCCACCCAAAUCUCAUCUUGAACUAUAGCUCCAACAAUUCCCACGUGUGGUGAGAGGUAAUUGAAUCAUGGGGGCGGGUCUUUCUCAUGCUGUUCUCAUGAUAGUGAAUAAGUCUCAUGAAAUCUGAUGGUUUUAUAAGGGGGAGUUUCCCUGCACAAAUUUUCUCUUGUCUGUCACCAUGUAAGACCUGCCUUUCACCUUCCACUAUUAUUAUGAGCCUCCCCAGACAUGUGAAACUGUGAGUCCAUUAAACUUCUUUUUCUUUAUAAAUUACCUAGUUUUAGGUAUGUCUUUAUCAGCAGUGUGAAAUAAAGUAUAGAAAGUCUAUUAUAUUGGAAAGAACACUGGGGCUCAGGCAUUAGCUCAACCCUUAGGUCCAUACCUUAUGGUCACAUAAUAUUGGAUAAGUCACUCAAUAUCUUUGAGCCUUGUUUAACAUAGAAAUAAUAAUAAUGACCUCACUGGAUUAGUCGCGG